rnacentral:rRNA from 1 species
UACGUAGGGUGCAAGCGUUAAUCGGAAUUACUGGGCGUAAAGGGUGCGUAGGCGGUUCGUUAAGUCUGUCGUGAAAUCCCCGGGCUCAACCUGGGAAUGGCGAUGGAUACUGGCGAGCUAGAGUGUGUCAGAGGAUGGUGGAAUUCCCGGUGUAGCGGUGAAAUGCGUAGAGAUCGGGAGGAACAUCAGUGGCGAAGGCGACCAUCUGGGACAACACUGACGCUGAAGCACGAAAGCGUGGGGAGCAAACAGG